CCUACGGGUGACAGCAGUGAGGAAUAUUGGUCAAUGGACGAGAGUCUGAACCAGCCAAGUAGCGUGAAGGAUGACUGCCCUAUGGGUUGUAAACUUCUUUUAUAUGGGAAUAAAAUGUUCCACGUGUGGGAUUUUGUAUGUACCAUAUGAAUAAGGAUCGACUAACUCCGUGCCAGCAGCCGCGGUAAUACGGAGGAUCCGAGCGUUAUCCGGAUUUAUUGGGUUUAAAGGGAGCGUAGGUGGAUUGUUAAGUCAGUUGUGAAAGUUUGCGGCUCAACCGUAAAAUUGCAGUUGAAACUGGCAGUCUUGAGUACAGUAGAGGUGGGCGGAAUUCGUGGUGUAGCGGUGAAAUGCUUAGAUAUCACGAAGAACUCCGAUUGCGAAGGCAGUUCACUGGACUGCAACUGACACUGAGGCUCGAAAGUGUGGGUAUCAAACAGGAUUAGAUACCCGGGUAGUC
rnacentral:rRNA from 1 species